rnacentral:rRNA from 1 species
UACGGAAGAUGCGAGCGUUAUCCGGAUUUAUUGGGUUUAAAGGGAGCGUAGGCGGAAUGUCAAGUCUGCGGUCAAAUGCCGGUGCUCAACGUCGGCCUGCCGUGGAAACUGGUAUUCUUGAAUGCACUCAAGGUAAGUGGAAUUCGUGGUGUAGCGGUGAAAUGCUUAGAUAUCACGAAGAACUCCGAUAGCGAAGGCAUCUUACUGGGGUGUGAUUGACGCUGAGGCUCGAAGGUGCGGGUAUC